rnacentral:rRNA from 1 species
CCUACGGGUGGCAGCAGUGAGGAAUAUUGGUCAAUGGACGAGAGUCUGAACCAGCCAAGUCGCGUGAGGGAUGACUGCCCUAUGGGUUGUAAACUUCUUUUAUAAGGGAAUAAAACGAGGCACGCGUGCCUGUUUGCGUGUACUUUAUGAAUAAGGAUCGGCUAACUCCGUGCCAGCAACCGCGGUAAUACGGAGGAUCCGAGCGUUAUCCGGAUUUAUUGGGUUUAAAGGGAGCGGAGGUGGGUGGUUAAGUCAGUGGUGAAAGUUUGGGGCUCAACCGUAAAAUUGCAGUUGAUACUGGCAGUCUUGAGUAGAGUAGAGGUAGGCGGAAUGCGUGGUGUAGCGGUGAAAUGCUUAGAUAUCACGAAGAACCCCGAUUGCGAAGGCAGCAUACUAAACUGUGACUGACACUGAUGCUCGAAAGUGUGGGUAUCAAACAGGAUUAGAUACCCGAGUAGUC